rnacentral:tRNA from 1 species
GCCCCGGUAGACCAACAGGCAGAGUCCAUGGUCUCAAAAACCAUGCAGUGUGGGUUCGAAUCCCACCCGGGGCA